GAGGCACCAAAGCUGGGGAGAGUCAGAGCUGCGGAGAACUCAUGCCGUCUGGCCCCAGAGUCCGGGCUCUGAGCCACUGGCCUCUCUGCCUCUUGGCCCCGGGACACCAAAGGAGAAACCAAGGCUUCCUUGCGGGAGCGAAUGAGUAGUUAGAGGUGAGGGAGCCGGAAAACCUGUUCACGGCCCUGGACCUGGAAGUCAGGCUCCCCCCUUGCCCUGCCUUUAUCCAGUGAGAUCCUCCAAAUGUCUCCUUCACUAGCACCCCCAGGCCAUGAAACAGGUCCUGAAAGGGUCAGAGCAUCGUCCCAUGAUGGAUACUGAUAAACUGUAAAGGUGAGUCCAGGAGGACACCAAGGGGAAAACGGGGGCCAGAGUGUGUGCGACCGCCAGUGAUCUGCUUCGCUCAGAUGCACCCUGGAAGGCCAACUGGUUUUAUAAUGUCAUUGGCGGAAGCCUUCCCCACUUGCUUCCAAGAUAUGCAUUCACAAGAAAGAUGCAAACCUGCUUGGCGGGAGCGUUACUGUGGCAGCGACAGCAGCUCAGGCCGAUGUCCCUGCAGGCUGCCUCCAGAACAUGCUCUGGCGUUGCUUAUACUGCUCAGACCUGACCCUGAGGCCACUGUGGUUCCCUUGGCCUCUGGGCCAGGACCGCAAGGAGAAGGGCGCUUGAAUACACACUCCAGAGGUGUCUACCUACAGGGAGGAUGAGGCUGUCAGGCCCAGCCCUGCCUCUGCCUCAGGAUACGCCAACGAGGUCCCUGCCACCUGCAGCCGCCCCGGGAGCUCCAGCCCUGCAAGCACUCCGUUUCACCAGCUCAUGUCUCCAUCUGAAUAUAGAUGUUAGAGUGGCGUUGUGCGGAGUAAAGAAGACCGUGUAAGAAAAGUGCCUGACAUACAGUAAAUGCUCAUUAAACACCCAAUGCUGUUAUUAACAUUCUUCGCUUAUGUUUGGCUUCCAAGUGCCAAGGAAAAUGGACACCAAGAUGGAGAUUUUGCAAGGGCUUCCAAGGGACAGCUUCAUCCAAAUCCAUGAGCCCAGCCAUGUCUUGGGGCCAAGGUAGAGCCGUAGGUAUGUCUGUUUAGGGCCACUGACCAACAGAGAAACAAACACCACACAAGCCAGGUUGAUAUUAACCCCCAGGGGUCAGACAUGACACUAAACCCACGGUUCCCUUGUCCUUUAACUCAGAGAUCGCAGGAAGAUACAUGUGGAAGCGUUUACUGUUAGACGUUGAGUACGUUUGCCAAGGGAAUGGAUAGAGACCUUCGUCUGAGUAAGAGAAGUGGUAUCUGGUUUUUAUUGUUCUCGGCAUGGGAUCCAAUCAUUAAAGGAACACAACUGGAAACAUACCACACCAGGCUCGUGAACUGGGUGGAGAACAAACAGCCUACAGAGCAUCUGGAAGAUGCCCAGGUCGUUAAAGUGUUCGGGCAGGGGUGGCAGCCUAGGCGGGCAUGUGUCCCUGUGUGCCCACAGGAUGGGGCCCUCACCACCUCCGGGUCCGCCCAUUCCCAGUCCCCUUCCCGGACUUCCUGUGCCCCCUGCCCCGUCCCUGCUGGGAGCAGUAUGGAGCCCUAGACACUGCCCUGUCUCACCUCACACCCAAGCAGCACCCCCUCCUGCAGAGCUGCCAUCUCUCGGAUUGGCCCGCUCCCCUCUCCACGGCUCAGAAAUGCCCCCUUCCUGCCCCCUCCGCCCUCUCAUCUCUUUCAGGAUCUGCUUUCCAUUUAGGACUGAGCUCCAACCGAAGAAAGGGCUGGCACCAGAGGCCAGCGGAGAGACGCUGUGUGACCAUGUGGCUGGGAGUGACCUUGGACCUGUUUCCCGAGAGCACUCCCUUCCGUCCGGGGACCCAGGGUGACCGCCAGCUCCCGCAGGAGCGGUGCUGCCACCAUGCUGCACGCUCCACGUCCCGCUGGCUGCUGGCACCGUGACCAUAGGGGGGCAUCCAGAACCUUCUGCCCUGGAGGCCUGGGCACAGCAGGGUGGGCGUCUCUAAGCUCCAAGUACAAGUGGAGUUUGUCUGGGGUGGACAGAUGUGGAGCAUUCACCACCACGGGCCGGUGCCCCCUCACACAUCUAUAAGUGAUGGUGUUUCCUUUCAAUUGCUCUCGUAGAUGUUGUCUGGCCCAACCUUUCCCCUGUGGCUCCUGUCCCCCUGGUCUCCACGGCAACCCUGUACAAACACCACACAUACCUCGGCUCUGAAUUCUUCCCCUCCUCUGCCAACCAGCCUUGUGCCCUUCAAGGCCCAGCUCACAGGCCACCUCCUCCUUGCAGCCUCCCUUGACUACUCCUUCCCAGCUGUUGUCCUCACAGAAUUCCUCCAGCGCUGGCUGGAGCACUUGGUGGGGAGCUGGCUGCUGUGUCCUGCAUGUUAAUAUUACCUACGUUGCAAAAUCCUGCUGGCACAUCUCCUACGGUUAGGCCUAGUGCCUGGAGCACAGCAAGCUUUUAAUACCUAUUUUUAUUAGUUGGUUAUCUCUUGUAUCCCCCAGAUUCUGAUAUAACCAAUGUGGACUCAGAUCUGACCAAGACAGCAGAGAAAAGAUGUCUCCCCCUCACUUCGCUGCCGUUUAAUACUCUGGUUUCCCUGGCGCCCUUCCUCCUGUGGAGCUAAGUUCAGGGACAUUAGCUGGUCAUACCCCAACCUUGAUCGGUCCCUCCUUGUAAGCUGGCCUGGGGGAAAGAAUGGAAAGUUUGAAAACAUGAUGCUGAGUGAAAGAAGGCAGUCACUGAGGCCACACAGAGAAUGGUUCCCUGAAAUGACAAGAACAGGCAAAUCCACGGAGACAGAAAAGAGAUUUGUGGUUGCUCAGGACUGUGGGAGUGGGUGAUGGCUAAGGGGUACAGGGUUUCUUCGUGGAGUGAUGAAAAUGUUCUAAAAUGGAUUGCGGUGCUAGAGGCAUGACUGUGAAUAUAGACAGUCCCUGCCUUACGAUGGUUUGAUUGACGAUUUUUUGACUUUAUGAUGGUGUGAAAGUGAUACGAAUUCAGCAGAAACUGUACUUCAAAGUUUGAAUUUUGCUCUUUUCCUGGGCAGUGAUAUGCGGUCCAAUCCUCUGUGGUGAUGCAGGGCGGCAGCCGCAGCUCCCAGGCAGCCCCGGGAUCACCAGGGGAAACCGUGACAGACAGCCGCUCUGGACCCAGAAGGCCACGCUGCUUUUCACCUUCAGUACAGUGUCCAGUAAAUUACACAAGCUAGUCAACACUUUAUCAUAAGAUAGGCUUUGUGUUAGAGGGCUUUGCCCACCUGUAGGCUCAUGUGAGCGCUCUGAGGGCAUUUAAGGUGGGCUGGGCUAAGCUGCGAUGUGCAGUAAGUUAGGGGUAUUAAAUGCAUUUCGACUUUUGAUAUUUUCAACUUAAGGUGUGUUUAUGGAAGAGUCACAUACUAAAAGCCAUUGAAUCGUACACUUUAAAUGAAUGAGUUAUGUGGUACGUGAAUUAUAUCUCAAAUUAUAUAUAUGUGUGUGUGUGUAUACACACACACACACACACACACACACACACACACACAUAUAUACAUUAUUUUUAGAGUGGAAACUUUGGGCAUCAGGCCCGGUGGGACACAUGAAGGGGAGGCCAGGUGGGGCUGAGUGGCCUGAGGUCUCAGGGGGACACUGAGAUGAAGGAUGUAACCAGAGGGGACAUGGGAUCUCGUUGGUGUACAGUCACAUUCCAUGGAACAGAGUAGAAAUAUUCAAAUCUCCCGAGUUCCUCAAGUUCCUUGAACGUGAGUUCAAGGAACCCGAGUUGGAGGACAAAGGAUGUGGAAUCCAGAGCAGGGUGCAUUUCCUAGAGCCCUUCAUUUAUUUCUUCCACAAACGGUUUGCGGGAGGGUCUCAGGGCUGAAGACGUGGAGGCCUUGCAGGCGAGCGGGGGGGGGCACAGAGGAAGGCACUGGUGACGAGGACACCUUACAGUAAACCCUCUUACAGGAGCACCACAGGUGGCCUGGAGGAACGCAAAGGGUGAAGGAGGGGGGCAGGAGACGUCCCAAGGGGGGUGGAGUGACUCAGGCAGAAUCACCUGGGUGCUGCCCACACCCCCGAGCAUGCAGACGGGGGCAGAGCAGUGGAAGCGGCCAGCAGCAUGGGUUAAAGUACAGUGGAGGACGCGGGUGGGGGCUGAGCCAGCCAACUCUGGGUUGUGGAGUUUUCCAGCAGCCCUCGGCUUCCAUCACCUUCGGGAAAAUCACAGGAAGCCGUGAUGGCAGCUACCGUUGUGAAGAUGCCAUCAGGCUGCAGUGUGCUUGCGCGGUGGGCAGGUGGGCAGCCUCCGGCGCCUGCCCUUGACAUUGGCGGUACUGCCUGGGGGCACUUCAGCUCAUGGUGUUUUGGGGACUGUGGUGUUUCCAGUAAAAAUCAAGAGACAGAAUCCCUGCCCCUACCUCCUUUGUUGGGGGGCACCGCGCAGAUCUGUGGGGCAACACGUGUGGAAAUAUUUUAGUAGCCCAAGGAGCUAUCACAGGACAGGGAGGGGCAUCUCUGCUGUGAUACCCAGAAACACUCAUGGAUCAAGGAGAGGGGUGGGCUCCGAAUCAAUGCAUGGUGUCCUCACGCCCACAUGUUUGCCCCUAUUCUAGCACCAAGGUUAUCUAUCCCGUAGCUCAGUUCUAAAACCACCACACAACAAAGAUCAAAAGGCUUUGAUCACAGUGUGUGGUGAGAUGUCGGGGAACAUCCUCUUUUAGAGAGUAUACACUGUACAACCUCCAUGGAGGGCAAUUCCGCCAAAGCUGUCACAAUAGGAAUACAUGUACUCUUUGACCUGACGAUUUUACUCCUAGGCGUUUAUAUCACAGAUACAUUUACACACAUGCACACAAAACUAUGUACAGCAGUAUUUGUUGCAACAUUUUUUUUAACAGCAAAGGAUGGAGAGCAGCUCCAUCGACGGAGGACUGACUCGGUACACAGUGGAGCAACGUACAGCCACAAAAAGGAACAGGGCACCUCCCGGUGUGCCACCAGGAAGUGAAGCCAAGGGGUUCAAAACCAAGUUGUAGAACAGGAAGAUGGUAUGAUACAAAAACAUAAAAAGCUUGUCAGUGCAUAGACUGUCUCUGAACUGUUGCCUCUGCGCAGAGAAACUGGGAGGCUGUGGUCCAGCGGGGAAGAAUGCUUACUUUUUACCAUUACCUUUUUUAUACUUUUUGAAUGUUUAAACAUGCACGCACGAGCAUUACCUAUUCAACUGCGUAUGUAUUUAAACAAAACAAUAUUAUUCUAGGGAUUGAAGUGGAUCUGGGAACUCCCGGUAUAUUUAGCCACUUGGUGUUGUGCAAAUAAUCUGAGCCCCAGGUGCCUCAUUUGCAAAACAGGUGCAAUGAUGCUGCACCCACUUGAAAGCAGGAGGCUGGGAUGAGGGCCUUUCAGAUUCCUUCUGCUCUGAGAUCUAUAAUCCCCUGUGGAUGUAGCACAAAGACUGUGUAUGCUGGCCAGGGGCACCCCGCGACUGUCCUUCACAUGAGUCCUCUCGGAGCAAAGCUAAAUGCUGCUCCCUACAUGUGGCUUGCGGGGCCUGAAAGACCUGCGCUGGGCGGGGCUGCAAAGGUGGUAGGACUGUUUGAAAAUUCCUCCUUCUUCUGCUCCACCCUGACCAGUCUUUUCCUCCCCAGACACCAGGGCUCCUUUCCUGCCCUGGGCAUCACACCUGCCUAGGACAAGCAUCUAUUCCCAGUCACUUGUAGCCUCUCCCUGCUGGCGGCCCGGGGGAGGUAGAAUUCGUCCGUUCUCCCGAAACCAGCAAGGCUCUGGUGGGGAGGGACAGACGCUCUCGGGGUUCUGUGCCGGCGAGGGUGGGGGACGGAGAGCGGGCACCUCGGGUCCCCCGUCAGCCAGCAGCUCAACACCAGUCCCGGCUCAGGGGCUGUCACAUCAUCCGGCACUCUCUUAUUCUGGACGUGCUGCUAACACACACCCAACCCGAUUAGAUAGACACGGGCUGCAGGUUCUGAUUACAGGACAUUCCUCACUUCCCCAAAUGCCGUUGAACCCUCUAACCAGCUCCCACUUCUCAGCCUCUAACAGCCCUGGCCCCAUCUCCUCCCUUCUCCCCCCUCACCCCCCCGCUCAGGUCUCAGCCUCCAGAAACGGGGAAACUGAGGUCUGCAGACGGGAAAGACUUUCGCCCUCCACCCAGGGAGCUGGAGAAAUUCUCUGCUGGAGUCACCAGCCCCGUCUCCUUCCCUAAGCUCCUGCCGGGGCGGGGGCACCGCAGCAACGCUCUGGGUCUCCGGAGGCUGGUGUCAGCUCAGAGUCAGUGUACACUCAUCUCUGAAGAGUCUAAUUAUUACCUUUUUGCCAACGCAUUCACCCUGGUAAAGGCCACAGGCAGCUUCAGGGAAGGCUGGGAGAAAGGUUAGUAGUGGACAGUUCUGACAGUAUCCUGGGGUCCUUUCUCAAGGCGACCCGCCCUCCCCUUCGUUCAAGGGGCUCUGGGUUUGUAAACUGGCUCAAACCUCGGGAUUAACUGAGGGGCCAUGAUGCUCUGAUUCGAGUUAGGCUUUGGUUCACUUGAACUGGAACUCGUCAUUGAUUUUCAAGUAAGAAUUGAGGCCUGCAUCUACCUCACCUCCAGGACCGCCGUGAUCAACCAGCCAUCGGUCCGCCGGAGUCGGCCUGUUUACACUGCUGCUUUGACACUGCUGUCCCUCACGGUAACCACGCCCGUCUCGUCUCUGGGGAUUAAGUGUUGCCACACGGCCCUGCCGCCCAGGAUCCAGCGAUCCCCACUGCGUUUAGGAUUCCCAGAGCAGUGGCUGCCGUUCCCGCUGUCAUCUCUGACCUCGGAUGAGAGCGACCACAGAGCUGAUCAAAGAGCCUCCCUCACAAACUGUCUGUCACCGUCUUGGUGAAAGGGGUGUCCUCUGGACCAUCCCAGGUGUGUGUGUGUGUGUGUGAGAGAGAGAGAGAGAGAGAGAGAGGAGAGAGAGAGAGAGAGAGAGAGAGAGAGAGAGAGAGAGAGAGAGCGCAGGACUUACAUGGGAAUCUAGGCUAACUUUCCAAUCUCCCUAAGCCUUUGGAGACCUUCCUCUAUAGGGUCCAUGUUUCAGCCAACCCAACCAAAUAAAACUGUUGGCCUUUCUGGCCCCAGAGCCCUUUUUUUUUUUU